rnacentral:rRNA from 1 species
UACGUAGGUGGCGAGCGUUGUCCGGAUUUACUGGGCGUAAAGGGCGCGUAGGCGGCCUCCUAAGUCAGACGUGAAAUCCCCCGGCUUAACCUGGGAACUGCGUCUGAUACUGGGAGGCUUGAGUAUGGGAGAGGGAUGUAGAAUUCCAGGUGUAGCGGUGAAAUGCGUAGAUAUCUGGAGGAAUACCGGUGGCGAAGGCGGCAUCCUGGACCAUUACUGACGCUGAGGCGCGAAGGCUAGGGGAGCAAACGGG